rnacentral:snoRNA from 1 species
UCGCUUCAAGAUUCCUUACCCCUCGGAUCUAAAUGUUGGUCUGAGUGGCUAACAAAGAAGGCAAAGCAGGACUGACGUGGACUUGGAAUCUCCAGUGACUUAUAAGUCCAUUUCAAACAUUA